GACGAACGCUGGCGGCGUGCUUAACACAUGCAAGUCGAACGAUGAAGCCUAGCUUGCUAGGUGGAUUAGUGGCGAACGGGUGAGUAAUACGUGAGUAACCUACCUUUAACUCUGGGAUAAGCCUGGGAAACUGGGUCUAAUACCGGAUACGACCAAUCUCCGCAUGGGGUGUUGGUGGAAAGCGUUAUGUAGUGGUUAUAGAUGGGCUCACGGCCUAUCAGCUUGUUGGUGAGGUAACGGCUCACCAAGGCGACGACGGGUAGCCGGCCUGAGAGGGUGACCGGCCACACUGGGACUGAGACACGGCCCAGACUCCUACGGGAGGCAGCAGUGGGGAAUAUUGCACAAUGGGCGCAAGCCUGAUGCAGCGACGCCGCGUGAGGGAUGACGGCCUUCGGGUUGUAAACCUCUGUUAGCAGGGAAGAAGAGAGAUUGACGGUACCUGCAGAGAAAGCGCCGGCUAACUACGUGCCAGCAGCCGCGGUAAUACGUAGGGCGCGAGCGUUGUCCGGAAUUAUUGGGCGUAAAGAGCUUGUAGGCGGUUUGUCGCGUCUGCUGUGAAGGCCGGAGCUUAACUCCGUGUAUUGCAGUGGGUACGGGCAGACUAGAGUGCAGUAGGGGAGACUGGAAUUUCUGGUGUAGCGGUGGAAUGCGCAGAUAUCAGGAGGAACACCGAUGGCGAAGGCAGGUCUCUGGGCUGUAACUGACGCUGAGAAGCGAAAGCAUGGGGAGCGAACAGGAUUAGAUACCCUGGUAGUCCAUGCCGUAAACGUUGGGCACUAGGUGUGGGGGACAUUCCACGUUUUCCGCGCCGUAGCUAACGCAUUAAGUGCCCCGCCUGGGGAGUACGGCCGCAAGGCUAAAACUCAAAGAAAUUGACGGGGGCCCGCACAAGCGGCGGAGCAUGCGGAUUAAUUCGAUGCAACGCGAAGAACCUUACCAAGGCUUGACAUAUACUGGACCGCAUCAGAGAUGGUGUUUCCCUUCGGGGCUGGUAUACAGGUGGUGCAUGGUUGUCGUCAGCUCGUGUCGUGAGAUGUUGGGUUAAGUCCCGCAACGAGCGCAACCCUCGUUCUAUGUUGCCAGCACGUUAUGGUGGGGACUCAUAGGAGACUGCCGGGGUCAACUCGGAGGAAGGUGGGGAUGACGUCAAAUCAUCAUGCCCCUUAUGUCUUGGGCUUCACGCAUGCUACAAUGGCCGGUACAGAGGGUUGCGAUACUGUGAGGUGGAGCUAAUCCCUAAAAGCCGGUCUCAGUUCGGAUUGGGGUCUGCAACUCGACCCCAUGAAGUCGGAGUCGCUAGUAAUCGCAGAUCAGCAACGCUGCGGUGAAUACGUUCCCGGGCCU
rnacentral:rRNA from 1 species